rnacentral:lncRNA from 1 species
AGAGCCGGACUCCGAUCUCCUCUCAGACGGGCAACUAGCCACCCCUCUCCGCCAGACACUCCAGCCAGACUUCGACCGACAGGCCUGGACCCUCUAGCAGGCCACAGUAACGGCCACGACUCUGCACCACUUCCUGCGACGGAUUUCGCGCGGCUCCAUCACUCCCUGGCAGACCGCAAUAAUGGCCACGAUCCUGCUCCACUUCCUGCGAUGGAUACCAUGCGAUUCCUCCAUCCUCUGGCAAGUCGCGACAACGGACGCCGCUCCACCCCCCACGACAGACUCCACGUGGCAUGUCCCGGUGAUAGCCAC